rnacentral:lncRNA from 1 species
UCAACGCUGUUGAGCUCGACUGGCAGUUCAUCACGCGAGCGAAAGCGAGCAGACUGUAGCUAAUUCUUGAUUCCACAAUGGAAACAGUGAUCUAAUGAAACGCAUGGUCGAGGAGGAAUCUGUCAGGAAGAAUCGGAAAUCGGAGAAGUGCCAACUGAAAUAAGCCGGCCAGGAGGAGCCUAGGUGACAGAUAUAACGACCAGUUGCGGUUGCCAGUGGGUAUUUUUUAACUCAUCCGUGGUUCUUCUAGUCGAAGGAGUUUUUACAGUUGAAUUCAAGAAAACAAACGCACCAGCGCGGCUUCUGCGACAACAACUUUGAUCGCAUGUAUUGCUUUACUUGCUCCAUCCGAUGACUGGCAAAAGCGCCCAGAAGACGGCAAAUACCCAGAUGAACGUGAUAUAGAUGACGUAACGGCGAUGUAAACGAUCUGCGGAAAAAUGGCUGUUAGUGAUGUGUUUAGUUGAGCAAAGUUAACCACCGUAUGGAUGGGAAACCCAAGAAGCAAGAUGCAAAUGUCAGAGACCGUGAGGUUCAACAAAAC